UUGUCCAAGUGACAAAACCAGGUUUUAAAUUCUGGGCUGUUUGAUUCAACACUCUUAGACCACUUUGCUCUACAGCCCCAAUUAUUGGCCUCCAAGCCCUCUCCAGCUCUAAAGAUUGCACAGUUCUUGGGUAUAAACCCAUCCUUUGCACUGCUUCCGGAAAAUCCUCUUGUAAACGUUAUUCUUCCAUAUGUCAGCCUUGGCAGCCCCAGGCAGGGUCAGGGGACAGCCAGGCCAGAGAAGUUGAGUUUCACUAGCCAUAAAUCCUCUGUCUCCGACAUGCCCCUUAACUGCUUAUCU
rnacentral:lncRNA from 1 species